rnacentral:rRNA from 1 species
UUCCCGGGCCUUGUACACACCGCCCGUCACACCAUGGGAGUGGGUUGCAAAAGAAGUAGGUAGCUUAACCUUCGGGAGGGCGCUUACCACUUUGUGAUUCAUGACUGGGGUGAAGUCGUAACAAGGUAACCGUAGGGGAACCUGCGGUUGGAUCACCUCCUUACCUGAAAGAAGC